CUCGGGUCCGUCAAUGAUGGCCCAGGCGAAGAGAGUGGGCUUUCAAGUUUUCGCUAGGGUUUAACGCCCUCCAAGCCGCAGGCACGCGAGGAGGAGAAGAAAUGGCAUCUUUGGCCCGCGCCGCCGCCUCCGCCGCGAGAUCGGCCAUUCGCACGGCGCCCCUCGCCGGCCGCAGCUUUGGCUCGUCCCUGGCGGCCCCCAACCCAGCUCGAGCCGCCCGGAUCCUGCGCAGGUCGGCGGUGGCGGGGCUGGAGACGCUGUUGCCGCUCCACACGGCGGUGGCCUCGGCGCGCCUCAAGUCCUGCAUCGCCGUCGACUCCACCUGCUGGAGCUCUCUUUCCCAAGGUUUUAAAAAGCGCAUCUGAUCAUGGCUAGGAGCUGCGCAGCAGAGAAGCGAAGACACCGAGUUAGAAACAAAGAUAUGCUUUGCCUUUGUGACAAAGAGCUGCACCUGAAGAAACCAACGGACAUUAGGGAUUGCAUACAUUCUGGCUGUAAUAAUUAGAUACUUGCAAACUGAUGCUUCAUCCCUCGUUUAAUUUCGUAAUGUGAUUGUCGAAGUUUUGGAACAAGUUUGUCCAUGUGGAAAGUUUAUGCCCCAUGGAUUAUCUGCAGCUUUAAAACAGUGGGUUGUCACGAGAUGGUUAUGCACAAUGUUUUCCCUUUGGGCCUCUUCUUUUCA